rnacentral:lncRNA from 1 species
CAAGUGCUUCGUCAAUGCUUAUGGUUUUCAUAGAACUUAAUGAUUCUUGCUUGUAUCUCUAUUAUGAAAUCAUGUAGGGGACUUGUGGGGAAUGUUUUGGGUUGUCGUAUGCAAUCAUCCAAUUCAAUAACGUUAGGAAAAUCUGAGGGUUAAUUUAAGCGGAACUAAUUAACUUGGGGCAUUGAGAAUUCAUGGUUUAUUGAAAAGCAAUUGGAAAUCGUUUUGUAUGCAAGUAUAAC